CCUACGGGAGGCAGCAGUGAGGAAUAUUGGUCAAUGGACGAGAGUCUGAACCAGCCAAGUAGCGUGAAGGAUGACUGCCCUAUGGGUUGUAAACUUCUUUUAUAUGGGAAUAAAAUGUUCCACGUGUGGGUUUUUGUAUGUACCAUAUGAAUAAGGAUCGGCUAACUCCGUGCCAGCAGCCGCGGUAAUACGGAGGAUCCGAGCGUUAUCCGGAUUUAUUGGGUUUAAAGGGGGCGUAGGUGGAUUGUUAAGUCAGGUGUGAAAGUUUGCGGCUCAACCGUAAAAUUGCAGUUGAAACUGGCAGUCUUGAGUACAGUAGAGGUGGGCGGAAUUCGUGGUGUAGCGGUGAAAUGCUUAGAUAUCACGAAGAACUCCGAUUGCGAAGGCAGCUCACUGGACUGCAACUGACACUGAGGCUCGAAAGUGUGGGUAUCAAACAGGAUUAGAUACCCGGGUAGUC
rnacentral:rRNA from 1 species